GCACCCGCGCCGCAAUGCCCGUCAUGGCCGGA
rnacentral:scRNA from 1 species